GAUGAACGCUAGCGACAGGCCUAACACAUGCAAGUCGAGGGGCAGCACGGGAGUAGCAAUACAACUGGUGGCGACCGGCGCACGGGUGAGUAACACGUAUGCAACCUACCUGUAAGAGGGGAAUAACCCGGAGAAAUUCGGACUAAUACCGCAUAAUACUUCGAGACUGCAUGGUUUCGAAUUUAAACAUUUAUGGCUUACAGAUGGGCAUGCGUAUGAUUAGCUAGUUGGUGAGGUAACGGCUCACCAAGGCAACGACCAUUAGGGGUUCUGAGAGGAAGGUCCCCCACACUGGUACUGAGAUACGGACCAGACUCCUACGGGAGGCAGCAGUGAGGAAUAUUGGUCAAUGGACGA
rnacentral:rRNA from 1 species